CCUACGGGGGGCAGCAGUGAGGAAUAUUGGUCAAUGGGAGAGAGCCUGAACCAGCCAAGCCGCGUGAGGGAAGACGGCCCUAUGGGUUGUAAACCUCUUUUGUCGGAGAACAAACCCGGGACGAGUCCCGGACUGCGUGUAUCCGAAGAAAAAGCAUCGGCUAACUCCGUGCCAGCAGCCGCGGUAAUACGGAGGAUGCGAGCGUUAUCCGGAUUUAUUGGGUUUAAAGGGUGCGUAGGCGGAAUAUCAAGUCAGCGGUAAAAAUUCGGGGCUCAACCCCGUCGUGCCGUUGAAACUGAUGUUCUUGAGUGGGCGAGAAGUAUGCGGAAUGCGUGGUGUAGCGGUGAAAUGCAUAGAUAUCACGCAGAACUCCGAUUGCGAAGGCAGCAUACCGGCGCCCAACUGACGCUGAAGCACGAAAGCGUGGGUAUCGAACAGGAUUAGAUACCCGGGUAGUC
rnacentral:rRNA from 1 species